rnacentral:rRNA from 1 species
UACGGAGGAUCCGAGCGUUAUCCGGAUUUAUUGGGUUUAAAGGGUGCGCAGGCGGGAGAUUAAGUCGGCGGUGAAAUUUUGCAGCUCAACUGUAAAAGUGCCUUCGAUACUGGCUUUCUUGAGUGUGGAUGAAGUAGGCGGAAUUUGUGGUGUAGCGGUGAAAUGCUUAGAUAUCACGAGGAACUCCGAUUGCGCAGGCAGCUUACUAAACCACUACUGACGCUCAUGCACGAAGGCGUGGGGAUCAAACAGGAUUAGAUA